CAGCAGCCGCGGGAAUACCGAGGGUGCGAGCGUUAAUCGGAUUUACUGGGCGUAAAGCGUGCGUAGGCGGCUUUUUAAGUCGGAUGUGAAAUCCCUGAGCUUAACUUAGGAAUUGCAUUCGAUACUGGGAAGCUAGAGUAUGGGAGAGGAUGGUAGAAUUCCAGGUGUAGCGGUGAAAUGCGUAGAGAUCUGGAGGAAUACCGAUGGCGAAGGCAGCCAUCUGGCCUAAUACUGACGCUGAGGUACGAAAGCAUGGGGAGCAAACAGGAUUAGAUACCCCGGUAGUCCCUGUCUCUUAUAU
rnacentral:rRNA from 1 species